UUUUGUUUGAAUGUGUGUGGUAAAACCACUAAAUGUUAGGCUCUCAUGAAUUUGUGAGGUAAAUCUAGUACAGGUGAGCGUGUGAAUGUGUGAUGUACAACUAAAAAUGUUAGCAUUUUGUGUGUAUGUGUGAGGUAAAACUAAGAGAGGUUAGCUUUUAGUGUGAAUGUGUGAGGUAUAACUAGUAAAUGUGAGCAUUUUAUAUGAAUGUGUGAGGUAAAACUAAGAGGUUCACUUUAAUUGUGAAUGUGUGAGGUUUAACUAGUAAAUAUGAGCAUUUUAUAUGAAUGAGUGAGGUAAAACUAGUAAAUGUGAGCCUUUUAUAUGAAUGAGUGAGGUAAAACUAGUAAAUGUGAGCCUCUUGUGUGAAUGAGUGAGGUAAAACUAGUAAAUGUGAGUCUUUUAUAUGAAUGUGUGAGGUAAAACUAGUAAAUGUGAGCCUUUUAUAUGAAUGUGUGAGGUAGAACUAGUAAAUGUGAGCCUUUUGUAUGAAUGCGUGAGGUAAAACUAGUAAAUGUGAACCUUUUAUAUGAAUGCGUGAGGUAAAAUUUGUAAAUGUGAGCCUUUUAUAUGAAUGUGUGAGGUAAAACUAGUAAAUGUGAGCCUUUUGUAUGAAUGGGUGAGGUAAAAAUUAUAAAUGUGAGCCUUUUAUAUGAAUGUGUGAGGUAGAACUAGUAAAUGUGAGCCUUUUAUAUGAAUGAGGUAGAACUAGUAAAUGUGAGCCUUUUGUAUGAAUGUGUGAGGUAAAACUAGUAAAUGUGAGCCUUUUGUAUGAAUGGGUGAGGUAAAAUUUAUAAAUGUGAGCCUUUUAUAUGAAUGUGUGAGGUAUAACUAGUAAAUGUGAGCCUUUUGUAUGAAUGGGUGAGGUAAAAAUUAUGAAUGUGAGGUAAAACUAGUAAAUGUGAGCCUUUUAUAUGAAUGAGUGAGGUAGAACUAGUAAAUGUGAGCCUUUUGUAUGAAUGUGUGAGGUAGAACUAGUAAAUGUGAGCUUUUUAUUUGAAGUGAAACAGUAAUGAGGUCAAAUCUUAAUCAACUUCAGGGUGGUAGGAAUUUCACAAAGAAGCAUUUUCCAAAACUUCUUUGUUACAAAAACAAAUUUCUUAAAGCUAGCAUGACUGCAAACUGGCCAAACACGGGCAGUGACAUUCUGACAUUUUGCCCAUGAUGUCUGUGUGUGUGUCUGGUUAAGUAACGGGUUGGCGAAAUGGAUCAAUUGAAGAGUGACUCAGUUCCAUCCCGAGGUCUUCAGGUUACUUCCUGGAAACGUUGAGUGGACAUUCCACUCCGAUAAAGACACCUCCUGGUUACACACACGCACAACCGAGCUGAGUUAUUUAUGCAUGGACAGUAUUAGAGUUCACCAAAGGCAGGCCAAAAUCGCCUCAUCAUGAUGUUAACACUUGGACUGUGUGUGUGUCAGAGUGAAGGAAAUAGUGCUGUGUAGUGUGCAUUCAGCAGUUCUUUUCCAUUCAUAUAGACAAGGUGAAAUGAAUGAAAAAGGAAUCUGUGACUCUCAAAGAAAACCCGAAUCCCCAAAAAAUGGUGCUUCGUUGUUUACAGAAUUCAUCCACAAAUUAAUAAUAGUUUUAUGGUUAAGAUCACAAAUCGGUCAAUAAUGGAUCCUAG
ensembl:lncRNA